CGCGACUUCAGAGUUUGAUCCUGGCUCAGGAUGAACGCUGGCGGCGUGCUUAACACAUGCAAGUCGAACGAAGCAUUUUUGAAAGCUUGCUUUUGGAAAUGACUGAGUGGCGGACGGGUGAGUAACGCGUGGGUAACCUGCCUUAUACAGUGGGAUAACAGUUAGAAAUGACUGCUAAUACCGCAUAAGCGCACAGUACCGCAUGGUACAGUGUGAAAAACUCCGGUGGUAUAAGAUGGACCCGCGUCUGAUUAGCUAGUUGGUGAGGUAACGGCUCACCAAGGCAACGAUCAGUAGCCGACUUGAGAGAGUGAUCGGCCACAUUGGGACUGAGACACGGCCCAA
rnacentral:rRNA from 1 species